rnacentral:rRNA from 1 species
GUGUCAGCAGCCGCGGUAAAACGUAGGUGGCGAGCGUUAUCCGGAUUUACUGGGCGUAAAGCGCGUUCGGGCGGCUUGACAAGUCGGGCAUGAAAUCUCUCGGCUCAACCGGGAGGGGCUGUCCGAAACUGUUAGGCUUGAGGGCAGCAGAGGCGGGUGGAAUUCCCGGUGUAGUGGUGAAAUGCGUAGAGAUCGGGAGGAACACCAGUGGCGAAAGCGGCCCGCUGGACUGCACCUGACGCUGAAACGCGAAAGCUAGGGGAGCGAACGGGAUUAGAAACCCCAGUAGUCC